rnacentral:lncRNA from 1 species
AAACGAGGCCCAGGGCAGCCACCGAGACCCUCCAGCCAGGGCGGACGACUGACCCAUCUCCGCGGAUUCGGCCCGCGAUCAGCCACGUCGCCGGCGCCACUCUGGAGAACCCCAGCCACAGGACGGAGCGGCCUCCAUCCUAGGACGCCUGGGACAAGGGGCUGCCCCCUGGAAGCAAGAUGGCGGCCUCCGCCCUCCCCUUCUUCUCCCAAGAACCCCCUCCCGGUCCCCAGAAGGGAGACAAGGACGUCGCGGCGCCGACGCCGAGAUCCGGGAUCCUCCGCGAAGCCCGCGGCCACUCCCGAGCCCCCGGGAGGUGACUUCACCUCGCCAGGCGCAGAGGGCCAGGGGUGGGGCCAGCCGCAAGGCAGCGCGGCCCGCCCUCGGCACGCAGAGGGCAGACGCCGGGAGCCCGCGCCCUCCCGGCCAUUGUUCUCCAGCCCCGGCCCCCGGCGCCCUCCUCUCCGCCGCGGACAGGAAGUUGCUCCCCAGCCGGCCCCGCCCCGCUCGCAGCGCUCCGGAAGUGAUCUGCGGCGGCUGCUGCAGAGCGGCCAGGAGGAGGGUGUAUCUCCGGAGAGCCGAGCGUCCCUGGUCCUCCUCCUCCUGCCGCCCAGGCUCCGCCGCCGCCCGUCGGACUCCUCCUCCUGCCGCUCCGGCGCGGAGCCGCCCAGACAAGGGCCGAGCGCUCGCCGGCGGGAACCAGCUCAGCCGCGGCUUCCGGAGCCCGCGGGCGGCGGACCGGCUUGCGGUGCAGGUGAGCGAUGCCCGGCCGGGCCGCCCCGCGGGGGGGGUUGGGGCCGCCCGGCCGGCGGCGGGGGUGUGUCCGGGCGGCGGCGGGCCGAGGCCCAGGCGCAGGGCCCGGACGCCGAGAUUGCACAUCCCGCGUUCGGCCCGGGAACGAGCCCGGGCUGGCAUCCGGGGCGCCGUGCUCGCCGCUGUGCGGGCGAGUGCACCGCCGAGAGAGCGGGCGGCAGCGGCGAGGUCCCCCGCGCCGGGCACCCCCUCGAGUUGGCCUCGUCGGAAGGUCACCUCGCAUCUCUGGCCCGCCGCGCCGAGGUCCCCGCCUGGGCGGUGCCCGCGACCUGGGGGGACCCGUCGCCGCAGUCCCCGCGCCUCACUGCGCCCCUCUCCCCUUCUUCCCUUUCCUCGAGUCCUUGCCUGUACUAG